CUUUUGUGAAAAUACAAUGACCAAAUAUGAGUUUAAUAAUGCUCCAAAGUGUAAAAUCGUCAUUCAGCGUAAUGGUCCGGACUAUGAUUUUACUAAUACAUUUUUAAAUAAACGUAUAAAAUACCAUGUUAAAAAAAAUAUUUGCUUCCUUGGCAUGUUCACAUAAGUGUUGGCUGUUUUAUAUUAAUAGGACUAUGUGUUAUUUUUUUCGUUAAAUAUUGAAACAACUAGGGGACUUUUGUCCCGAAUAUGCAGUUUGUCAGAGGUCAUUCAGUGUAACGGGAUCAGGAAACCAUUUUGAAAUUAAAUAAACAAACAAUAGUCAUCAAGCAGUCUGUGACAUCAUCAAAAGGCCCCCUGAAGACCAUCUGGUGAUUCAGCAAGGUAAGUUUAUUGCUCUUAAAUAUUUGAUAAUUUCACCUUUUCAUAGUGUGGUAUCUUGAGUUACAAAAACGACUGUCAUUCAGUGAAAUGCAAAAAAACACUUUUAUUGUUAGAUUUUUUGAAAAAUAAGUAGAUGUUGUGAAUAACGAUGAUAAACCUUUCUGGUCAAGUUCACUGUUUGAUAUAGGUAUCUAGUUGUUAACUACUAAUAUUAGCUUAAGUAAAAGUUUCGUCAUUCAGGGUAAUGUUUUGUCAUUCGGUGUAAUGCAAAUUGUAUGUUACACCACAGUGUCAUCCAUUACACUGAAUGAUAGUGUCACUGUUUAGAUAACAUUUUUAGCAUUUUAUUUCUAUUUCAGAUAAAUGAGUGAUGUUUAGCACAAAAAAAUAUAUCAAACUUUAUCAAUAUUAAUGUUUUAAUGUAUUUUUGUCGUUUUGGUACUGAUUUCUUUUAGAUGCCCACAAACAAAGAGAAAGUUUCUAGGCACUGGCAGAAAGUUAAUGCAGACCCAGUAGCUAGGGCAAUGCAUUUAGCAAGGAGACGAGAAAGCAACCAGAGAAGAAAGCAAGCUGCCUUGGCUGCAAAUCCUGAUCACCUGUCAAUCAGGAAUUUAUCAGAUGCUGCAGCUGAGAAGAGGCGAAAGCAAUGGCGGAAAAAUCAAAGAAAACACAGGGCAGAAGCUAAACGUAUAAGGGCAGUUCUGGAUCUUAUUAUACAGUAUUACCACCUGUUCAGUUAAUUUUUACGAAUAUGAUAUGCAUUAUGGAAUAAAAAUGAUUAUUAAUUUCA